rnacentral:tRNA from 1 species
GGGCCGUUAACUCAGCGGAAGAGUGCUAUCCUCACACGGUAGAAGCCACUGGUUCAAAUCCAGUACGGCCCACCA